AGGCUUUUUUGUUUGCUUUUUUCUUAGAUCAAUCCAUUUUUUCCAGACCAAAACUGUCAAGAAGCCCCCGCACAAAGGAAACACUCAGAUCAAAGGCUAAAGCUUUGCCAUCUUGAAAUUACAAUAUGACAAGAGUUUCAUCUAGAGGCAUUGUUUAGACAACUCCAAUAAAAGCGCAAGUGCUCUCACAUUUUGGACCCUGUCUGUAUGGGCCCUAGCAUCCUCAGAAAGAGAAACAAGUCCAGUGGUGGUGAGCCUUUUAGAAAGCGAGUGCCCAAACCACAAUCCAAAACCAGUUAUGAGACCCAAGGAGUAAUUCAAGCUCCACUGACAACAAAACAUAUAAGACACAUUACUGGAGAAAAUAAGGUGACAAUUGUGUUGAUAUCAGCUUCAUAAAAAGAAGAAAGAAGUCCCAAACUUUUUUCCAUCAAUCUUCCAUGGGGAUGAAAGUUUGUUUCCAGUAUUUCUAAUAUUGAACUAAUUUUGUAUACCAAUUUAUACAAUUUGACAAAUUUCUUCAUAUUCAUGGAAUAAACUUGAAAUUUUUGUUUUAAAUCCUGUUUCAUGAUGGGAAUCUUUGAGAUUUCAAAUAUUUUAAUGUGAAAAUGAAACUGAUAAAGUCUACCAACUUUAGCAUCAACAUCUGAAGGUCACAAAGAUUAACAGUUUUGGCUCACAAAGCAUUAUUUUCAUGAUGUGCAAUAUAUUAUACUUUUAUAUAAUACAAGCAGGGGGAAAUAGGCUUCAGCUGAAUUGCUCUGAAUAUGUUUGACCUUGUAGAUAAUAUAGUCGUGAUUGUUGAAUGUGUGAGCCAUUAAACUGAACAAAAAGACAUAAUGGUUUUGUGUCCUCCCUGAGACAGCUAAAACAAGCAAAUAUAAAAAUAGCUAAUAAGCUGAUUUUAGCUAGGCGGAUCACAAGUUGCAGCG